rnacentral:rRNA from 1 species
GCGGUUAAGCUCGUCGUUGGAUUUCUGUUGAGGUCGAACAGUGCCGCCCUAUGGGUGAGCAACUGGAUCGGCUUCGGCAUCUUCUUGGAGAGCGCAUCUGCACUUAACUGUGUGGAUCGUACUUCAAGUCAGUUACUUUGAGGAAUUGUGAGUGUUUCAAGCAGGCUUACGCCGUUGAAUCCGUUAGCAUGGAAUAAUAGAAUAGGACCUCGGUUCUAUUUUGUUGGUUUUGAGAGCUGGGGCAGCGAUUGAUAGGGACGGAUGGGGGCGUCCGAACUUUACUGUCAGAGGUGAAAUUCUUAGAUCGGUCAAAGGCGAACUACUGCGAACGCAUUCGCCAAGAAUGUUUUCUUUAAUCAAGAACGAAAGUUAGGGGAUCGAAGACGAUCAGAUACCGUCCUAGUCUUAACCAUAAACGUUACUGACUAGAGAUUGGAGGUUGUGAUUCACAAACUCCAUCAGCACCUCUAUGUGUAAACAAAGUCUUUGAGUUCUGGGGGGAGUAUGGUCGCAAGACUGAAACUUAAAGGAAUUGACGGAAGGGCACCACCAGGAGUGGAACCUGCGGCUUAAUUUGACUCAACACGGGGAAACUUACCAGAUCAAGACAUAGUAAGGAUUGACAGAUUGAGAGUUCUCUCUCGAUUCUAUGGGUGGUGGUGCAUGGCCGUUCUUAGUUGGUGGAGUGAUUUGUCUGGUUAAUUUCGUUAACGA